CUUCAUGCCCCCUUCCCUCUUUAUUCCAUCUUCCAUGGCCCACUCCUUCUAUAUUAGAUCUAGAGAGAGGCCUUAGAGAGAGAGAAAAAAAUCAAGAAAAUAAUUUUUGAUUUUUCUUGAUGUUUAGGAUCAAUCUCUAGGAUCCUAUACAGGGCUGCUUCAAGUAAUAUAAGGAAAAAGGUCCUAAUCCAAGCCGAAGAAUGAAGCUUGCAAGAAAACUAGCAUCCCGAGAGUUUCAAAGUUUUGAUUGAGAUAUCUUUGUGUAGAUACUAGCAG
rnacentral:lncRNA from 1 species